GAGGGUCUAGCUCAAAUGGUAGAGUACAUGCUUAGCAUGCUGGAGGUCCUAGGUUCAAUCCCCAGCACCUUCU
rnacentral:tRNA from 1 species